GAUGGCGUCCUCAGUGCCGGUCACCCUCGCCCCCCGGGAGGGGUCCGGCAGGCGGAACCCUGCGGCUCGACGGCCCGCUGAUAAAGGGACCAAGAAAAUGCAAACUGCGAUACCAUGUUAAGUCGAGUGUUGCUGAUGGAGCCGGUCACAAGGAGAAUCGGGACGCACGCAGGAGAAUCGGGGCAGACGUGAGUAUGAAUUGGGACAUACUAAGGAGCAUUGGGAC